rnacentral:rRNA from 1 species
GGUUAAGCGACUAAGCGUACACGGUGGAUGCCCUGGCAGUCAGAGGCGAUGAAGGACGUGCUAAUCUGCGAAAAGCGUCGGUAAGGUGAUAUGAACCGUUAUAACCGGCGAUGUCCGAAUGGGGAAACCCAGUGCAAUUCGUUGCACUAUCGUUAACUGAAUACAUAGGUUAACGAGGCGAACCGGGGGAACUGAAACAUCUAAGUACCCCGAGGAAAAGAAAUCAACCGAGAUUCCCCCAGUAGCGGCGAGCGAACGGGGAGCAGCCCAGAGUCUGAAUCAGCUUGUGUGUUAGUGGAACGGUCUGGAAAGUCCGACGGUACAGGGUGAUAGUCCCGUACACCAAAAUGCACAGGUUGUGAACUCGAAGAGUAGGGCGGGACACGUGGUAUCCUGUCUGAAUAUGGGGGGACCAUCCUCCAAGGCUAAAUACUCCUGACUGACCGAUAGUGAACCAGUACCGUGAGGGAAAGGCGAAAAGAACCCCGGCGAGGGGAGUGAAAAAGAACCUGAAACCGUGUACGUACAAGCAGUGGGAGCACCUUCGGGUGUGACUGCGUACCUUUUGUAUAAUGGGUCAGCGACUUAUAUUCUGUAGCAAGGUUAACCGUAUAGGGGAGCCGCAGGGAAACCGAGUCUUAACUGGGCGUUAAGUUGCAGGGUAUAGACCCGAAACCCGGUGAUCUAGCCAUGGGCAGGUUGAAGGUUGGGUAACACUAACUGGAGGACCGAACCGACUAAUGUUGAAAAAUUAGCGGAUGACUUGUGGCUGGGGGUGAAAGGCCAAUCAAACCGGGAGAUAGCUGGUUCUCCCCGAAAGCUAUUUAGGUAGCGCCUCGUGAACUCAUCUUCGGGGGUAGAGCACUGUUUCGGCUAGGGGGUCAUCCCGACUUACCAACCCGAUGCAAACUACGAAUACCGAAGAAUGUUAUCACGGGAGACACACGGCGGGUGCUAACGUCCGUCGUGAAGAGGGAAACAACCCAGACCGCCAGCUAAGGUCCCAAAGUCAUGGUUAAGUGGGAAACGAUGUGGGAAGGCACAGACAGCCAGGAUGUUGGCUUAGAAGCAGCCAUCAUUUAAAGAAAGCGUAAUAGCUCACUGGUCGAGUCGGCCUGCGCGGAAGAUGUAACGGGGCUAAACCAUGCACCGAAGCUGCGGCAGCGACACGAUGUGUUGUUGGGUAGGGGAGCGUUCUGUAAGCCUGCGAAGGUGUGCUGUGAGGCAUGCUGGAGGUAUCAGAAGUGCGAAUGCUGACAUAAGUAACGAUAAANACCUGUGAGGGUUGCUGGAGGUAUCAGAAGUGCGAAUGCUGACAUAAGUAACGAUAAAGCGGGUGAAAAGCCCGCUCGCCGGAAGACCAAGGGUUCCUGUCCAACGUUAAUCGGGGCAGGGUGAGUCGACCCCUAAGGCGAGGCCGAAAGGCGUAGUCGAUGGGAAACAGGUUAAUAUUCCUGUACUUGGUGUUACUGCGAAGGGGGGACGGAGAAGGCUAUGUUAGCCGGGCGACGGUUGUCCCGGUUUAAGCAUGUAGGCUGGUUAUCCAGGCAAAUCCGGAUAAUCAAGGCUGAGGUGUGAUGACGAGGCACUACGGUGCUGAAGUAACAAAUGCCCUGCUUCCAGGAAAAGCCUCUAAGCAUCAGGUAACAUCAAAUCGUACCCCAAACCGACNAAGUAACAAAUGCCCUGCUUCCAGGAAAAGCCUCUAAGCAUCAGGUAACAUCAAAUCGUACCCCAAACCGACACAGGUGGUCAGGUAGAGAAUACCAAGGCGCUUGAGAGAACUCGGGUGAAGGAACUAGGCAAAAUGGUGCCGUAACUUCGGGAGAAGGCACGCUGGUGUGUAGGUGAAGUCCCUGCGGAUGGAGCUGAGACCAGUCGAAGAUACCAGCUGGCUGCAACUGUUUAUUAAAAACACAGCACUGUGCAAACACGAAAGUGGACGUAUACGGUGUGACGCCUGCCCGGUGCCGGAAGGUUAAUUGAUGGGGUUAUCCGUAAGGAGAAGCUCUUGAUCGAAGCCCCGGUAAACGGCGGCCGUAACUAUAACGGUCCUAAGGUAGCGAAAUUCCUUGUCGGGUAAGUUCCGACCUGCACGAAUGGCGUAAUGAUGGCCAGGCUGUCUCCACCCGAGACUCAGUGAAAUUGAACUCGCUGUGAAGAUGCAGUGUACCCGCGGCAAGACGGAAAGACCCCGUGAACCUUUACUAUAGCUUGACACUGAACAUUGAGCCUUGAUGUGUAGGAUAGGUGGGAGGCUUUGAAGCGUGGACGCCAGUCUGCGUGGAGCCAACCUUGAAAUACCACCCUUUAAUGUUUGAUGUUCUAACGUUGGCCCCUGACCGGGGUUGCGGACAGUGUCUGGUGGGUAGUUUGACUGGGGCGGUCUCCUCCCAAAGCGUAACGGAGGAGCACGAAGGUUAGCUAAUCCUGGUCGGACAUCAGGAGGUUAGUGCAAUGGCAUAAGCUAGCUUGACUGCGAGCGUGACGGCGCGAGCAGGUGCGAAAGCAGGUCAUAGUGAUCCGGUGGUUCUGAAUGGAAGGGCCAUCGCUCAACGGAUAAAAGGUACUCCGGGGAUAACAGGCUGAUACCGCCCAAGAGUUCAUAUCGACGGCGGUGUUUGGCACCUCGAUGUCGGCUCAUCACAUCCUGGGGCUGAAGUAGGUCCCAAGGGUAUGGCUGUUCGCCAUUUAAAGUGGUACGCGAGCUGGGUUUAGAACGUCGUGAGACAGUUCGGUCCCUAUCUGCCGUGGGCGCUGGAGAAUUGAGGGGGGCUGCUCCUAGUACGAGAGGACCGGAGUGGACGCAUCACUGGUGUUCGGGUUGUCAUGCCAAUGGCACUGCCCGGUAGCUAAAUGCGGAAGAGAUAAGUGCUGAAAGCAUCUAAGCACGAAACUUGCCCCGAGAUGAGUUCUCCCUGAGACUUUAAGUCUCCUGAAGGAACGUU